UACGAGAGGCCCGAGCGUUACUCGGAAUCACUGGGCUUAAAGGGUGCGUAGGCGGAGGUGUAGGCGUCCUGUGAAAUCCCACGGCUCAACCGUGGAAUUGCGGGGCGAACCACACUUCUUGAACCUGGUAGGGGCUGUCGGAACGAUCGGUGGAGCGGUGAAAUGCGUAGAUAUCGAUCGGAACGCCGAAGGUGAAGACGGGCAGCUGGGCCAGUGUUGACGCUGAGGCACGAAAGCGUGGGGAUCAAACAGG
rnacentral:rRNA from 1 species